AACGAGGCCGACCUGCGGCUGAGUUACCUGCGGAGGGAUCAUUACACAAUACAAUAUGAAGGCUGUCCGCAGCUGGAGUAUUUUAUUACCCUUGUCUUUUGCGCACUUGUUGUUUCCUGGGCGGGUUCGCUCGCCACCAGGACCACCAAAUAAACCUUUUUUAUGCAGUUGCAAUCAGCGUCAGUACAAACGAUGUAAAUCAUUUACAACUUUCAACAAUGGAUCUCAGAUCGGAAGAGC
rnacentral:misc_RNA from 1 species